UGGGGAAUCUUGCGCAAUGGGCGAAAGCCUGACGCAGCGACGCCGCGUGGGUGACGAAGGCCUUCGGGUUGUAAAGCCCUGUGGGGAGGAACGAACCGUAUCCGGGCGAACACCCCGGGUACCUGACGGUACCUCUUUAGCAAGCAUCGGCUAACUCUGUGCCAGCAGCCGCGGUAAGACAGAGGAUGCGAACGUUGCUCGGAAUUACUGGGCGUAAAGCGCGCGUAGGUGGCCUUGUAAGUCUCGUGUGAAAGCCCUCUGCUCAACGGAGGAAGUGCACGGGAUACUGCAUGGCUGGAGUACAGAAGAGGACAGCGGAAUUCCCGGUGUAGAGGUGAAAUUCGUAGAUAUCGGGAGGAACACCAGUGGCGAAGGCGGCUGUCUGGGCUGAUACUGACACUGAGGCGCGAAAGCGUGGGAAGCAAACAGG
rnacentral:rRNA from 1 species